rnacentral:tRNA from 1 species
GGUUGUGGCUCAGCGGUAGAGUGUUCAUCUCGCAUAUGUGAGGCCCUGGGUUCAAUCCUCAGCACCA